UACAGAGGGGGCAAGCGUUGUUCGGAAUUACUGGGCGUAAAGGGCGCGUAGGCGGCCUUCUAAGUCGAACGUGAAAUCCCCGGGCUCAACCCGGGAACUGCGUCCGAUACUGGGAGGCUUGAAUCCGGGAGAGGGAUGCGGAAUUCCAGGUGUAGCGGUGAAAUGCGUAGAUAUCUGGAGGAACACCGGUGGCGAAGGCGGCAUCCUGGACCGGCAUUGACGCUGAGGCGCGAAAGCCAGGGGAGCAAACGGA
rnacentral:rRNA from 1 species